rnacentral:siRNA from 1 species
ACAUAACGGUGUCCUGCAUGGCCU